CUGACUUCCUCUUCCACUGCUUGGUGCUUUCAGGAUGAAGAAUUUGUCCUACUGUUGGAAAACGGAGCCAUCCCUCGUACUCAUAGCGUCAGAGGAACCAACUACUGUUUGAUCAAUGUUUUUCCAGACCGAAUUCCUGGGAGAGCAAUCAUUAUAUCUGUAAUUGAUAAUCUAGUGAAGGGAGCUUCUGGUCAAGCUUUGCAGAAUCUUAAUGCGAUGAUGGGAUUUCCAGAAAAUUUGGGUCUUCAUUACCAGCCUUUGUUUCCUUAGAGUAAUACUAAUAAUAUUAUCCAAGGGCAUGCUGCGGGUGAUGAAGCAGAGUCAAAUAGUUAAGGACGAGGUGCCAACUAGAUGCAUUAAUGAAUAUGUUGUUCAAAUUAUGUAUUUGUCAAUAAAAUUUAUCCUUAAUAAUCCUUCUUGAAUGAAGGGAAAUUGUAGGACACGGAUGUUACGGAGUAGUCAAUUCCAUCCUUGGUUGUAGGAUUAGCAUGUUUCGCAUGUUUCUCUUCAUAUCACUUCUUUCGUUUUGCCUUCAGAUAUUUAUGAUUAUUUAAUUCCAUAAUUCUUGG